ensembl:lncRNA
AGCGACACUGGUUCCUGUUUGUUCAGUAGUUUAGAGGACCCAGCAGGAGGAAGAGGAGGUCCGGAGCGAGAUUGGUCCUGUGAAGACCUGUGUAAGUCCGUGGGUAAUGGCUUCUGUAGUUUGCCUCCUGAACCGUCCUGCCUUGGAGGAGACCUCACGUGGAGGGAAGGGGCCCAGAACUGUCCAGACGGCUUUGAUGUUCUUCCACCACACAGAGCCGCUCAACAGAAUACACCGGAAGUGACGGCUUCGGGGCCAUUUCUUCCUCCUAUCUCCCCCUGAAGCCCCGGGUCACGGUUACAUCCAGCUUCCCUGAAACCACCAUGUUAUGCAUGUUCUCAAGCUGCUUGGGAGAGGUGCCUGGAGAAACAGUGGCCCCUUCCCAUGCCAGCUUGUCUAGACACCUUUCAUGACAGAGUCUUCACGGGACCGUUCUUCCGCUGUCAUCUGACUCAGCGUGGUAUGUCUGUGCACCACCUGGUGCCCACAGAGGCAGAAAAGGGCACCAGACCAUUGGAAGUGGAGUUACAGAUGAAUGUUGGCCACCAUUUGAGUUCUGGGAAUAUAACCCUGGACCCCUGGAAGAGUAACAAGUAUUCUUUUCACUGAGCCAUCUAUCCACUCCUGUUUUCAAUUAUAUACUAACAGUUCUACAAAACUGAUUUUUAUCUUCGGUGAAACAUGUUCCAAAUGGGAGUAGGGUUCAUAAUUCGCCUCAUUUUAGGGCUCUUGGUACAGUGUGGGGACACAAUUUUGCAGAAGGCUGAUAUGGAGUGGGAAGAGCUUCAGUCUUUUCCUUUUUCCACUCUCAUUUCUUACAUCCUCACUACCUCAUACCUGCUAAUAUGACUUUCACUUCUACAUGGCAACCUGGAACCCUAUGUGAGGAGGAAGACAGUAGUAUUUUGGUAUUCUUACCUUACCCUGAUAUUAUAGACACCACAGAACCUCCCACUACAUCAGGAUAUGCCUCUAACUCUACUCCCAACUAUAUGCACCUUCUGACAAACCCAUGGCUGAAGUAAUGGGUUAGUUAGCCAGCUCUCUCAGUCUCCUACCAACAGGAGUCUCAACUCUCACCCUGACCCUCAAGGCACUCCAUAAUAUGGAAAACACUGUCAGUAUUGGAUAACCCGAGGGAGGAAAGCUAUGGACCCAGAAAUGAGAGGCCAGCAUGUACACCCGUGCAGCCCCGUGUCAGUUUUGUUUGUUUACAUGACACUGCAGUCUUUACACUUAUGCUUUUUGAAUCCAAUUACAUCAGUCUGACUUCUUUUUAUAUGCUAUUAUUAUGAUAUGUAAUAAUAAUUAUAUAAUAUAUUAUCAUUUUAUUAUACCUUGAAUAUAUAUGGAGUCUGAGGAUGAGGAUUAUGCUGCCUGGUCUUAUGUCAAUUUGACAUACAAUCCAGAGUUAUUUGAGAAGAGGGACUCUUAACUGACAUGAUGCAGCCAUAAGAUCCAGCUGUAAGACUUUUCUUAAGAGAUGAUUGAUGAGGGGAGGGCCUCGCCCAUUGUGAGUGGUACCAUCCCUGGGGUGGUGGUAGUCCUGGAUUCAUUCUCUCUCUCUCUCUCUCUCUCUCUCUCUCUCUCUCUCUCUCUCUCUCUCUCUCUCUCUCUCCAUAUAUAUAUAUAUAUCUCCCUCUUCCCUAACCAGGAAGAUCUACUCAAUGAAUGCUAUAGUGUGUGUGUGUGUGUGUGUGUGUGUGUGUGUGUGUGUGUGUGUGUGUGUGUGUGAGAGUGUAUGUGAGUGUGUGUGUGUGAGUGUAUGUGAGUGUGUGUGUAUGUGUUUGUGUGUGUGUGUGUAUGUGUAUACAGUAAACAGUAGCCCUUCAUGGCCUCUGCAUCAACUCCAACCUCAAGUACCUGCUUUGUUUGAGUUCCUGACUUCCUUUGAUGAUAUGAAACUAAGCCAAAUAAACCCUUUCCUCUCCAGUUAGCUUAUGUUCAGGGUUGUUGUGGUUAGCAAUAGUAACCCUAACUAAGACACAGACGAACUCAUUUUUUUUCAGGAAAGAAGCUACAAUAUAAAAGUUUUGAGCUUGAGCUGGGUGUGUAGCCCUUGCCUAGCAUGUGCAAGGCCCUGGGUUCAGUCCCCAGUAACACACACACACACACACACACACACACACAGAUACACACACACACACUCACACACACACUCACAUACAGAUACACAUACUCACACACACACACGUUUGUGACUACAUAUAUAUAAACAUUCUACAUAGAAUAUAUUUUAUUAUUAAGUAAAGUGUUUCUCUCUAAACAGCUAAAUUUCUGAGUACCAUUUAUUGAAAAUGUGUUCAUAUCUCGUUAUCAUUUACUGAAGGUUUGCACAUAACUGUAGUAAGUAAAUCAUAAUGAUUCACCCAUCAGCUGCGUCCUCCGCUCUGAUCAACUUCUGGUAGCACUGUGCUUUCAUUGCUGCAGCUCUUAUAUUCUUGAUACUAGGGAGAACUUGUCCUAAUGCAUUCUCUUCUCAAAAUGUAUUUUUAAAUCUUGUCUAGUUUUCCUAAAUAAGCCAUUUUGUGAAUUUAAAAGUCACACUGAAAUUGCUUAGUACCUUUAUUAACCUCAUGUACCAAUUUGGAGAAAACUAAUAAGAAUACAUCAUAUGUUAAUUUGAAUGAAAA